rnacentral:rRNA from 1 species
GAUGAACGCUGGCGGCGUGCCUAAUACAUGCAAGUCGAGCGAACGGACGAGAAGCUUGCUUCUCUGAUGUUAGCGGCGGACGGGUGAGUAACACGUGGAUAACCUACCUAUAAGACUGGGAUAACUUCGGGAAACCGGAGCUAAUACCGGAUAAUAUUUUGAACCGCAUGGUUCAAAAGUGAAAGACGGUCUUGCUGUCACUUAUAGAUGGAUCCGCGCUGCAUUAGCUAGUUGGUAAGGUAACGGCUUACCAAGGCAACGAUGCAUAGCCGACCUGAGAGGGUGAUCGGCCACACUGGAACUGGAACACGGUCCAGACUCCUACGGGAGGCAGCAGUAGGGAAUCUUCCGCAAUGGGCGAAAGCCUGACGGAGCAACGCCGCGUGAGUGAUGAAGGUCUUCGGAUCGUAAAACUCUGUUAUUAGGGAAGAACAUAUGUGUAAGUAACUGUGCACAUCUUGACGGUACCUAAUCAGAAAGCCACGGCUAACUACGUG